CGAAGCAGUGAACUUAAGCCCCAGUAAACGGCGGCCGUAACUAUAACGGUCCUAAGGUAGCGAAAUUCCUUGUCGGGUAAGUUCCGCCCCGCACGAAAGGCGUAACGAUUUGGGCACUGUCUCAACAACAGCCUCGGUGAAAUUGUAAUUCCGGUGAAGAUGCCGGAUACCUGCGACAGGACGGAAAGACCCCAUGGAGCU
rnacentral:rRNA from 1 species